rnacentral:lncRNA from 1 species
UGACGUUCUAUUGGCCUCGUUUUCUUAUGCUUCGCCGUCAUCCUCAACGACACCGGCGGUGUUGGUGCCCUGCGCUUUGCUUUGACCGCAGAAGGUAUAGUUUGCAGUCAUUUUAGGUCGUACAAUUGAUUAGACUGAUAAUACAUUGCAUUGAAUGUUUGAAGGAUUAGAUGAUUAAACAAGAUCUAAAUGUGAGGUGGAUUAAUCUAUAUUACUUGUACAUAUAUCUAAGCUAUCAUUGAGUUGAGACACAGGGUGAGGUUCUAAGCUAAUGAGACACAGGGUGAGGUUCUAAGCUAAGAAUGUCAUUUCUUUUCUCAUCAGUGAUUUGUUUCCUAAUCAUAGUAUAGGAUGCCAGUAAGUGAAAAUGCUUGAAGAUUGCUGAAAUCAAUGUAUCAUCUUAUUGUGGCAUUCAAUGAUUUUGAGACAGUAUACUUUUACAAGAGUACAUGAUCUGCCCUAAAUAGUUGCUCACAGAAUUCAUUUCAUUCCCCUCUCACAUUAUUAGCUACAAGAGGAUGAAUUGUUAGGGGUUCAUAAACCAAGGAUUUCAUAUCUUCCAUCAUUUGUUGUGGAGAUGUGAAUUCAUCGCCGCUUGCAUACAAAUAACACCCAAUCCUGCAUACCUUCAGAAACAUAUCUUUGCAUUGUCUUGGGAAGAUGGUUCCUGUUUUGUAGACAAUCUGCAUCAGUUGUCUCCUGUUACAUUCAGCCAUUUCUUUUGCUAUUCUAAUGGCUUCUUCUUCAGUAAAGGAGCUGUCAUCUUUGUUAGCUGCUAGCAGAAGGGUCACACUGUUUCCAGUAUUUUCUUUGCGUUCCUUCUGUCAAAGCACAUUAAGUUUAUUAUGCAUCCAAAGAAAUCUUUCACCAGAGACUACUAAUCUGUAUUUGUAAUGUGAGAUGCUGAUAUUUGGUUAAUGUUUUCUAGUGUUGCACUUGUAUUCUUGGAAGAAUCUUACCUCAAAAGUUUGCACAUCGUUGAGCAGCCGGUCAACCAUGGAGACAUGCCUACACAGAUCAAUGCACUCUUCACUCAGAAGCAUUUCAUCGGAUAGUUUUAUACCGAUGAAUUGCAUCGACAUGAGGAUGCAGAUUCUGCAGCCAAUUGACACCCAGGAGGCAGACAAGUAAUCAUCCAAGGUUAGUGCCGUGUCAUCGCUCCAUGUAUCCAAUUCUCUCUUGAAAAUUGAUAGUAUUUGAACCCACUGCACUUGUAGCAAACAUAAAAAUUACUUACCAGGAAAACAAAUAUAAGAUGUUAUGCAAUCAUUUAAAGCAUCUUGUUAAUACGACGUACCAGCUUUAUUAGAAAAUCUUUAACACUACGUCCGUGUUCGACAUGAGCCCUCUCUGCCAACUCAUUUACUGUGUUGUAUACUGCUGUAAAAAGAAUUUCAACUUCCUCGGAACCAUAUUCUGCGGCUGGCUUCUAUUUCCAUCUGUUUUUUCACAUUUUGUUGGGACAAAGUUACUAGCUUAUUAUACAUGAAUAAAAAGGAAAAGAAAGCAAUGAACAGAUGAGUUUGUGGAAGGAAGUUUACUCUUUUAUUAAUUCAAGGAUCUUGUAGGACUCUUCUCUAGACCCACGAUGAUCGAAAAAAUCAUCAAUACGUGUCACAAGCACAAUAUGUUGGGCAAAGACUAUGCGAACAUCAGACAAUUCAGGAUCACCAAUAAUUGCUGAAGUUAGAAAAUUAGCAACACGCACUACAUCUCUUCCAUACUUCAAGGUGUCCAACUUACAAUCUGCAUACCACCUACAUGCAUUUUGGUUUGAUGCAUCAAGUAUAUUACUCCUUAUUUAGAUGAAGUUUUAUGGUUAAGCUAUCACAUUGUCAUACCUUUGCAGUUGCUGAAGUUCUUUCUGGUGUUGGGCUUGGCAAAUGUUAAAAUCUUGCCUCGCAAAUGCUAGAAAAUCUUCACUGCAUAGAUUAGAGAACCUAAAACAAAGAAAAAACAUGUUUUUGUUUAGUAUAGAUCGGCAGAAACUGUUUAUCAGAUAUGAGGCAGAUUCAACAUACUGAAUGCCACUCUUUACCUAUUUGCAGCUUUUGCAGUUCGAUAAUAGCUUAUAUCAUAUAGGUCGAGGUUUUGUCUAACUCCCAUUCUAUCUAAUAUCCCGUGAUAGUUCUUCAAGUAGUAUUCCACCUUGACAUUUUUGUGAAAGAAAAAACUUGAUCAGUAUAAAAUUUAAUCUUGAAAAGGUGACUAUUUUAAGCUGAUUAAGAAAAACAUUAAUUAGUAAGCACCAGUUUGUGCAACUUCUUGUCAGGAAUGGAGUUAGUGAGCAACUUCUGCUUAAGAAAGGUGGUGGUCCAAGCAUGUAGUUUCUUAAGACUGCUCUCGUCUUCCCCUGUUCUCUCCUGUGCUGCUCUGUAAAGCUCGAUAACUGUCGCCACUUCAAUCGUUUGCAGGUCAACAUGCUCUUGGUCAGCAUACGGAGCCAGUUCCUCUAAACAACGACGAAAAAGGUUCGUUCACAUUUGUGCAUCUAUCUUAGAUUCUUGUACAUCUUAUGUAUAAUUUGAAUGGUGUUUCCACGUACCUGAUGAAACUUCAUAUCCCUUGACACGCAAAAGUCUAAAUGCCAUUGCAUGAAUAGUAGUAUCCGAAAAUAUCGCUCUCUCUUUCCGUUGCCAUAACCUGUUGAUCAUCGAAGCAGAUAUUCAAGCCUCGGCUUCUGAUUCUAUGCAUAAAAGCAAUGUGGAUCAUCUUUUUCAAUUUUGACAUACCUGUAUGUGUCCUCUAGAAUAGUGUCGAUUUCAGAUCGGAAGUAUCGGUCGACUCCCAACCUUUGGAGGGUGUCGAUUAUACAGAGAUUAGAGGGCAUAUCCGCC